ensembl:lncRNA
CCCCCAUUGGCUGGUCCUCACAACGUUCUCUGAGCCGUUGAGAUCAGACACUUGAGUAUCAGAUGGCUCCUUCCCUGAUACAAUGGAGGGAUGUCCUCUGAACACAUGAAGGAUGAACACACGAAGGAUGAACACAUGAAGGAGGGUUUAUAGCGUGCUGACCUCACCUCUGAAUACAUGAAGGAUGAACACAUGAAGGAGGGUUUAUAGCGUGCUCCCCUCACCUCUGAAUACAUGAUGGUUGAAUACAUGAAUGUACGUGAACUUUAAUAGGGGUUAUGGGGUGCUGGCUGACUCCAAGCCCAUUAAGGUGCUGGUUUGUAUCACCAAAUGGCCACAACCUAAUGGCCUUUUUCCAAUCGCAAGUUCGGCCAUUUAAGAAAGGAAUAUAGACCCAUAAAAAUACAAUAAAUGUUCUUGUGUAAGACAUCGUCACGCACACAGAGCACGGCUGGACCUCUCAACAGCAUGAUUCAUUAUUAUUCAUUUGUUCCGAUAACUAUAGAAGUCUAAUUUAAAAGGGUAAUUGAAGUUUGGACAGAAGCUCACCGCAGGGGUUUUAGUUUGAUGAUAUUUGCCUGUAAAACAGAUUAUCAGGUUCAAAUGGGAAGGUUUCUUCAGAUUAGUCUGGGUCUGAAGACUGGACAUCGGACAAUAUUUCCCAUUUUACAUCGCUUAUAUUUGUACUGUUUUUUUGACAACAUCAUGUUGCACUUUGUGUGAAACAUUGUUCAACGUGUAAACAAAACUCAUCUCAAAUAAAUCGCCACAAUGAGCUUCUUUGAUUAGGAAGCAAAAAAUUAGGUAAAUAUUGAACUUCAAACAGAACUCACAAUCGCAGAUUUCAUUGUGAAGUGCUUGUGAAGUCCUCCUCUCUGAAAGAUGUGUCUUAAUUUGAAUACAUCACAUUUUACGGGAAACUAAUAUACAACUAAAUAGGCUACAGUAAGUGUCUAUCGUUGUGUUAUGAUUCAAGACAAUCGUCAUCAUAGAGACAUAAUCCCAGCUGCACUGGGAGGCCAGACCAAGCAGAGUCCAACCAGGCCAAUCAAAGUCCAGCCAGGCCAGUAUAGUACAGUGUCACAGGUCAGUGCUGAGCCAAUCAGAGUCCAGCCAGGCCAGUAUAGUACAGUGUAACAGGUCAGUGCUGAGCCAAUCAGAGUCCAGCCAGGCCAGUAUAGUAUAGUGGAAAUAGGUCAUUUUUCUGCACCCAAGAUCCCCUGCUCCUUACUGGCAUGUAUUUACACAAUGUAUAUUUUAGGUAUUGGUUAAUACACGAUGAGUAUUUAGUAUGAAGUCCCCUGAAUAUCAUUAUUAGUCAGAUUUAAGUCCCCUGAAUUUCAUUAUUAGUCAGAUUUAAGUCCCCUGAAUUUCAUUAAUUAGUUAGUUAGUUUUAAGUCCUGUGAAUAUCAUUAUUAGUUUGUUAGUUUUAAGUACCCUGAAUAACAUUAUUGGUUAGUUUGUGGUUCCUCUGCUCUCUGUUCCCUAGCCUGUCCACCCCCUCCCCUCCCUCAGACUAAGGGUAUUACUACUAUCCCGGGAAACAGUUUGACCGAGCUGUGGUGAAUCUGUGUAUCAUCAGAACAAACAUCUUAAACUCGUAUUUGAACAGCGAGGCGGUCCACAGCUACAGGCCCGAAGGGCCCGUGUUUUUCAGCUGUUAACGUUUUCUUCUUCAAAUAUUAGCAUAUUUGACACUCUUCUUUCAUGUGUUAAUUGAAAACGAUCCCUCACUGCCGAUUUAUUCACUAUUAGCGCCUGCUAAUGGGUAGCUCUCCGCAUGUCUGCAGGGAAAACCAACAGCUGAAGCUUUUUAAUACUCAUCUCAAAAACACCAACCUGUACGAAAUAAAAUAAAUGUUUAAACAGCAGAGUAAUCGGGCAGUGACUACUCUCAGAAUACACGUGUCUGUAGAUGGGGAAACGAUCCCACACACACAUGCACGCACGGACACGCACACACACACCUGAUCCAGGUGAGGUCCAUGGUAGUGGUAGUUGUUUGGUAGGUGGUGUUGUCGCCGGUCCUUCAAACCCAGCCCCUGGGAGAUGGGUAUGGAAGGGUUGGAUGUUCAUCGUUGUACGGCCCGAGCAUGAUGACCUGGGUUCCCCUGGCAACGGGGCACCCUGCUCACAGGGGCCCUGGAGGCUGUGAUGUGAAACCAUCCCAGUCCCAUGAACCCAGGCUUGUUGCCCUGAGUCAGCAGCCUGGGCUAAUUAAGUGCAAUGUGUGCAUGCAUGAGCGCGUGUGUUGGUGUGUGGGUGUUUGUGUAAUUACGGUUUGUGUGCGUAUGUGUGUGUGUGUGUGUGUUUAUUGCCAUGCAGGCAUUUGUGUGUGUGUGUGUGUGUGUGUGUGUGUGUGUGUGACAUUAUUGCCACAUCAGCCUAACAGUACCAUUAGGCAAAGCUGUCCGUUUGCUAACUGCUAGCCGCUAACUGCUAGAUGCUAACCGCUAGCCGCUAACCACUAGUUCUGCCCUGAAUCCCUGAUGGAGGCUCAUUUUCCUCUGGUCUCGCAGUGAUGGGGUUUCAUUAAAUCACUGUUCCAUUUUUUCACACCAAAAAGACACGACAAGAGACACCCUUUUCCUGUUGUUUUUUACGCGCUACAAACAAUAAGAGCGAUUUGUUUGCAACGGUAUGAGUUGUAUCCUCAGAUAACGGAACGCGGAGCAGCUGCCAAGAAAUAGUACUGGGGAGGAGAAAACAAUAAAGACUGAGCAGGAAAAACAUGGCUGCCAAGAUAGAGAAACAAAGUGACUGGAGACGGAAGAGAUAGACAGAGGGAGAUGAAUAGAGAGAGAUGACGAGAAAGAGGUAGAGAGAGAGAUGAAUAGAGAUGACGAGAAAGAGAGAGAGAUGAAUAGAGAGACAUGACGAGAAAGAGAGAGAGGGAGGGAGAGAGAAAAAAUGUUGAUAACUACACCAAUUAAUGAAAAGCUCAGAGAGAGAGAGAGAGGUUGUGGAGAGUUAACUGAUGCAUUUAGCGCAGCCAUUGUGUGCAUCCGAGCGAGUGUGUGUGCUUGCGUGUGUGUGCUCGCGUGUGUGUCUGCAUGCCGUGGUGUGGAAGUGACCUCGUCGAGAUUGAAGCGAGACGAGGAGGAGAGACGGGCCAGAGUACUUUUGAACGGAGCUCCUGGGAUGGAGAUGAAUGAAGAGUGGAGGAGAGCGACACUGCUGGGAGUCAGGAGGCAAGAGGGCCUGGAGAGACACACGACAAAG